rnacentral:rRNA from 1 species
UACGGAGGAUCCGAGCGUUAUCCGGAUUUAUUGGGUUUAAAGGGUGCGCAGGCGGGAGAUUAAGUCGGCGGUGAAAUUUUGCAGCUCAACUGUAAAAGUGCCUUCGAAACUGGUUUCCUUGAGUGUGGAUGAAGUAGGCGGAAUUUGUGGUGUAGCGGUGAAAUGCAUAGAUAUCACGAGGAACUCCGAUUGCGCAGGCAGCUUACUAAACCACUACUGACGCUCAUGCACGAAGGCGUGGGGAUCAAACAGGAUUAGAUACCCG